UACAGAGGUCUCAAGCGUUGUUCGGAUUCAUUGGGCGUAAAGGGUGUGUAGGUGGCGCGCUAAGUCGGGUGUGAAAUUUCGGAGCUUAACUCCGAAACUGCAUUCGAUACUGGCGUGCUUGAGGACUGGAGAGGAGACUGGAAUUCAUGGUGUAGCAGGUGAAAUGCGUAGAUAUCGUAAGGAAGACCAGUGGCGAAGGCGGGUCUCUGGACAGUUCCUGACGCUGAGGCACGAAGGCCAGGGGAGCAAACGGG
rnacentral:rRNA from 1 species